UGAGGUGAGAUUGCUCCCCUAAAGAYAGGAUGCAGAGCUUGCUGAGCUGCCUGGUUGAAGGUGAAGGCUAUGUCAUCUACUGGAUGUUGCAAACCCAUGUUGAGGAGCUCAAUCCAGUCCCUGUUCCUAACUGUGCUUUUCGUGCUGACCUCUCAGGAAAUGGACCCUGAGUACCUGGGCCCAGCGAAUUCAGCACCACCAGGGAGACUGUGUCAGGAUGUUCAGAAGGCCCCAUACAAGAACUACUCAAGCUUCUCUGUCCUGAACUGAAGCAUCUUUAGGAGAUGUGAGACUGUGAAAUU